rnacentral:rRNA from 1 species
UCUUUCUUUGCUGGCGACCGGCGCACGGGUGAGUAACACGUAUCCAACCUGCCCUUUACUCGGGGAUAGCCCUUCGAAAGAAAGAUUAAUACCCGAUAGCAUAAUGAUUCCGCAUGGUUUCAUUAUUAAAGGAUUCCGGUAAAGGAUGGGGAUGCGUUCCAUUAGGUUGUUGGCGAGGUAACGGCCCACCAAGCCUUCGAUGGAUAGGGGUUCUGAGAGGAAGGUCCCCCACAUUGGAACUGAGACACGGUCCAA